rnacentral:rRNA from 1 species
UCCCAGUUCGGAUUGCAGUCUGCAACUCGACUGCAUGAAGCUGGAAUCGCUAGUAAUCGCGGAUCAGAAUGCCGCGGUGAAUACGUUCCCGGGUCUUGUACACACCGCCCGUCACACCAUGGGAGUCGGAAAUGCCCGAAGUCAGUGACCCAACCGUAAGGAGGGAGCUGCCGAAGGUGGAGCCGGUAACUGGGGUGAAGUCGUAACAAGGUAUC